AUACCGAUCAUACCGCUAGGCGGCUUCAAGUACUCGCUAGUGCAAUAUACCCUAUCGACUAUAUAUACCUGUCAAUCUGAAUAAUUGAUUAACAGUUUCUUUACUACAUAAGGGUGUUAUUUUACAUUCUUAUUUUUAUAUUUUGUGUAGUAUAUUGAAAAAGACAUUAUGUCUAGUGUGUUGUAUACGUGUUUGUAUUGUGUGGCUGUUCAUCCCUACCCUCUUCCGGAAUUAAUCAUUAUCCGGGAUAAAGCCACUUGAAUGCGGAUUCGAAAGACUCGGAUGCGCUGGUAAUCGGCGGCUGCCAUUCAGAACCUGGCGGCUUGUGAACUGGUCAGAGUGUGUCUGGUACUAGCCCAGACCGCGUGCCGGAUCAACGAUAUUUUACAUCGAGCACAGAACCCGCUUUCAUGGCAUUCCCAGAGGAUUGGAACCUGACACCACGUCAUACAUCAUAGUACACCGUCGAAUACCCAGGCUGUUAACCCGAAGCACAAGUUAGAUACGAUGUAGGUUUCCCGUGGCCUCCUACUUGUCGAAUAAACUAUGAAGCCUGUCAGUCACACCA